UAACUACUCCCUCCGUUCCAAAUUACUCGUCGCAGAAAUGGAUGUAUCUAGAACUAAAAUACAUUUAGAUACAUCCAUACCUGCGACAAGUAAUUCGGAACGGAGGGAGUAUUAU
rnacentral:pre_miRNA from 1 species